CCCUUAGAUGUUCUGGGCCGCACACGCGCUACACUGGCAGGUUCAUCGAGCUUCAUGCCCUGAUCUGAGAAGAACGGGAAAUCUUUGAACACCUGCCGUGCUUGGGAUAGAUGUUUGCAAUUAUUCAUCUUCAACGAGGAUUGCCUUGUAAGCGCACGUCAUCAGCGUGCAUUGAAUACGACCCUGUAUUCUGUACACACCGCCCGUCGCUCCUACCGAUUGAAGUUUUCGGUGAAUUUACUGGAGAUCCCUUUUGAAGGUGGUUCGCCACUGGAAGAAGUAUUCAAAAGUAAAUGAAUCGAAUGAUUUAGAGGAAGGAGAAGUCGUAACA
rnacentral:rRNA from 1 species